UAUCCAUUGCGUGUUGCUAGUUAAUUUGUUGGCUAAAAUUCUCUUUGUGUGUUGCUGGUGCCCCGUUUCGUUGUGCUGCAUACCUAUUUUGUAGGUAUUCRGUUGGCWAAAACGUCCCUCUUCCGYCUCGUGSUGUGCCUCUACGGAUGCGGCGCGGGGUGGACCUGAAAGCGUUCGUCGCGUUCCACAUUCCGCGCAAGUACCGAUGUACGUGCUCGGGAUGUUGGCCCGUGUCGGCAUGCUCGAUCUCUCGGAUGCGGAACAGUGAGCGGGUACGAGGCCACCAGGCCUCUAUUUGCCCCGAAAAACAAGCGUUCUACGCUUCUCGCRAACGACCGCCGCUACCGCUCUGUGCGGGUCCUYGCGGCUCGUAUCAUGCGGUAGUGGCGUCGAUGAGGAAUGC
rnacentral:misc_RNA from 1 species